rnacentral:misc_RNA from 1 species
CUUCACAGUACACAGUUGAAAAAUAAUUGAAUCCUUCAUGGCUUUCAGGACGAAUGCUAUUCUGUUUUUCCUUUUUCUUUAUUUUUAAAACCAUUCUGAAGUCGCAGUACAUCCAAUAUUACUUAUUUUCGUGUACAGAUCAACUGGGCUUUAUGAAUCAGGGAAGAUAAUUACAGCCGGUGAUCUUACUGGAAUAUAGAAAAGUGCUUCAGCAGUCCGGAGCCUGGAAUCAGGAUUAUAUAUACUUCAGCUGAAACAUCCUUGGAAAAGGAGUUAUGGAAGGUGCCAUUAAAAGAAAUUGGAAAGAAAAAAUUUUAAUAAUUAAAGAGCUUUUCAUUAAAAUUUUCACUAACCUCGAGCUUUACAUACAAUUUCCUCAAAAUGCCAAAUCAAAAGCAAACUUGACCUAUGGUGUCAACUGAUGAUCUUGACACUCAAUAUUUAUAAUCCU